UGUCGGACCGAUCAACCGACAUGGAAGUGACUGAAUAACCCUGUUGGAAUUAGGCGGGGUAAUGUAGACAGUUAGGGGUGGUGCCCGCUACUUCGGUAGAACUAUUACCAAUAGAACUGUUGUUGUUAUGUACUAAUUUUCGCACUAGCGAUUCCCAUAGCAUGAGGGUAAAAUGUAUUCCCUCCUUCCACCCU
rnacentral:ncRNA from 1 species